GCGUAUCGUUCACGUUUCGAGGUUCUCACGUUGGCUUUCACUGCCACGAUGGUUCUGUCUCUUUUUUUGAAUAACGUCACGACACCCUUCGUGUCUCUAUUAUUCUCAUCGUCACUCUCAUACACGCUUCGUCAACUGCAAUCUCUUUUUCACGGAACACACGAUGGAUUCAAUGCUAAGUUACUCGCCGGCUGUCCACGAUAUACCAUCAGAAAUGGCCAGAACAGCUGGACCGGCGGGUGAAGGUUGCCUGGAGUAUAAUUAGUUUGCCUCGGUAUGGACCGGGCGACCUACCAACGGACUUAUGGACGGAUGGAAGCAUGGCCGCCACGAGAUAUACCCCAUACCUCUUCGACGGUCUCCUCCGUCUCGUCUAGGAGGGAGGAGUCUCUUUGUGCGAACACGUGUUCUUACCAUGGACACGCAGUGUCCCCUAGGAUGGAUACCAUUUCCUUUUCUUUGAGAAAUGAAAAAAAUUAUUAUGGAAGUGACACUCGGGAUAUAGCCAGUUACGGUGCAUGAUAAUGACAGAGUGCAAUUUCCCAGUGGAAUUUUUUUGCCGUCUUUGACGAUGGGAGUAUAAUGAACGAAAGAAAUGAGACGGAAAAAAAAUACUUUAAACGUAAUUUCGCGAGGCAAUUAAAACACGCCGCGGUAUAUAAUCUUCGCCGGUGCCAACUGACAUCUAAAUAAAAUAGCAGAUAUUAGACACAGUGCUAAAGCACUGAGAGCCACGGACACGAGAUACGUUCCUGUUGUCGUCGUCCCUCGAUGUGGACUUAGACUGGGAUUAACGCAGAGUCGCUACGCCAACUGCAAUACAGCGAGCUUGGCCUCAGUCUGUCGAGAGUCGUCGUGCGACGCUGGCCCUGAGACUGAUGCGUAUACGUACAGCUGUGCAGUGAGGGAUGCUGAUGAAAACCGUAAUCCUGGGAUUUCCUAUUGUGCUUCGUUUGGUUGAAGAAAUUCGUGCCCGAAGUCCCUUAUCAUUCUCCUGUCCGGUGUACGAGCGUUUAGACAACUGGACGGAGAACUGAUAAGGGCCCGAGGGUC